AAAUUGAAGAGUUUGAUCAUGGCUCAGAUUGAACGCUGGCGGCAGGCCUAACACAUGCAAGUCGAACGGUAACAGGAAACAGCUUGCUGUUUCGCUGACGAGUGGCGGACGGGUGAGUAAUGUCUGGGAAACUGCCUGAUGGUAUUGGAUUGGAAACGAAGCACACUGCAUAACGUCGCAAGACCAAAGAGGGGGACCUUCGGGCCUCUUGCCAUCGGAUGUGCCCAGAUGGGAUUAGCUAGUAGGUGGGGUAACGGCUCACCUAGGCGACGAUCCCUAGCUGGUCUGAGAGGAUGACCAGCCACACUGGAACUGAGACACGGUCCAGACUCCUACGGGAGGCAGCAGUGGGGAAUAUUGCACAAUGGGCGCAAGCCUGAUGCAGCCAUGCCGCGUGUAUGAAGAAGGCCUUCGGGUUGUAAAGUACUUUCAGCGGGGAGGAAGGGAGUAAAGUUAAUACCUUUGCUCAUUGACGUUACCCGCAGAAGAAGCACCGGCUAACUCCGUGCCAGCAGCCGCGGUAAUACGGAGGGUGCAAGCGUUAAUCGGAAUGGGCGUAAGCGUACCGCGAAGGCCUUUCGCGGGUCGAUAAAAUCCUGCCUAACCCGGGAACUGCAUCUGGAUAAUUGGCGCCGGACCCGUAGAGGUAGAAUCUGCGUAGCGGUGAAAUGCGUAGAGAUCUGGAGGAAUACCGGUGGCGAAGGCGGCCCCCUGGACGAAGACUGACGCUCAGGUGCGAAAGCGUGGGGAGCAAACAGGAUUAGAUACCCUGGUAGUCCACGCCGUAAACGAUGUCGACUUGGAGGUUGUGCCCUUGAGGCGUGGCUUCCGGAGCUAACGCGUUAAGUCGACCGCCUGGGGAGUACGGCCGCAAGGUUAAAACUCAAAUGAAUUGACGGGGGCCCGCACAAGCGGUGGAGCAUGUGGUUUAAUUCGAUGCAACGCGAAGAACCUUACCUGGUCUUGACAUCCACAGAACUUUCCAGAGAUGGAUUGGUGCCUUCGGGAACUGUGAGACAGGUGCUGCAUGGCUGUCGUCAGCUCGUGUUGUGAAAUGUUGGGUUAAGUCCCGCAACGAGCGCAACCCUUAUCCUUUGUUGCCAGCGGUCCGGCCGGGAACUCAAAGGAGACUGCCAGUGAUAAACUGGAGGAAGGUGGGGAUGACGUCAAGUCAUCAUGGCCCUUACGACCAGGGCUACACACGUGCUACAAUGGCGCAUACAAAGAGAAGCGACCUCGCGAGAGCAAGCGGACCUCAUAAAGUGCGUCGUAGUCCGGAUUGGAGUCUGCAACUCGACUCCAUGAAGUCGGAAUCGCUAGUAAUCGUGGAUCAGAAUGCCACGGUGAAUACGUUCCCGGGCCUUGUACACACCGCCCGUCACACCAUGGGAGUGGGUUGCAAAAGAAGUAGGUAGCUUAACCUUCGGGAGGGCGCUUACCACUUUGUGAUUCAUGACUGGGGUGAAGUCGUAACAAGGUAACCGUAGGGGAACCUGCGGUUGGAUCACCUCCUUACCUUAAAGAAGC
rnacentral:rRNA from 1 species